AACCAGGUUAAACAAUCUGCCUGUGGGCCCUCUCCAGUUCAGGCCUGGAGAAGCUUGAAGAAAGUUCCUCUUCUCACAGCGACCUUCAACCCCCAUCUACUUGUAAUUUCCCUCUGUACCCCACUGAGGUUUAGAGAAUGUGGAAAUAACCCAGGGACUGCCCAAAUAAUACAUCAAGGAAACAGUAAGGAAAGCAGUUCUUCAAAAUGACUACACUGUCAUUGAAGUCCAGUGGCAAGAGAAAAGUCAAAAGAGUGGUGACGGCUCAGGAUGCAGUGGAUGACUUUGGUGAAUUCAAUGUCUGACCAAGCCCUUACUUUUUCUUGGAACUCCUAGAUGGUGCAGUGGAGAGAGUACCAGACCUGGAGUCAGGAAGACUCAUCUUGGGCAAGUCACUUC